rnacentral:rRNA from 1 species
GACGAACGCUGGCGGCGUGCUUAACACAUGCAAGUCGAACGGUGAAGCGCCUUCCUUUUUGGUGGGUGUGGAUGAGUGGCGAACGGGUGAGUAACACGUGAGUAACCUGCCCCCUUCUUCUGGAUAACCGCAUGAAAGUGUGGCUAAUACGGGAUAUUCUGGGUCUGUCGCAUGAUGGGUCUGGGAAAGAUAUUGUUUCGGUGGGGGAUGGGCUCGCGGCCUAUCAGCUUGUUGGUGGGGUGAUGGCCUACCAAGGCGGUGACGGGUAGCCGGCCUGAGAGGGUGGACGGUCACACUGGGACUGAGACACGGCCCAGACUCCUACGGGAGGCAGCAGUGGGGAAUAUUGCACAAUGGGCGCAAGCCUUAUGCAGCGACGCCGCGUGAGGGAUGGAGGCCUUCGGGUUGUGAACCUCUUUCGCCAGUGAAGCAGGCCUGCCUCGUUUGUGGGUGGGUUGACGGUAGCUGGAUAAGAAGCGCCGGCUAACUACGUG